rfam:Salinibacter ruber DSM 13855, complete genome.
GGGGCUGUAGCUCAGGUUGGUUAGAGCGCACGCCUGAUAAGCGUGAGGUCGGUGGUUCAAUUCCACCCAGCCCCA